UACGUAGGCAGCGAGCGUUGUUCGGAAUUACUGGGCGUAAAGAGUGUGUAGGCGGUGCUCUAAGUUCGGUGUGAAAUCUCCUGGCUUAACUGGGAGGGUGCGCCGGAAACUGGGGUGCUCGAGCGUGGGAGAGGAAAGCGGAAUUCCUGGUGUAGCGGUGAAAUGCGUAGAUAUCAGGAGGAACACCUGUGGUGUAGACAGCUUUCUGGACCAUUGCUGACGCCGAGACACGAAAGCGUGGGUAGCAAACAGG
rnacentral:rRNA from 1 species